AGAGUUUGAUCCUGGCUCAGGACGAACGCUGGCGGCGUGGAUUAGGCAUGCAAGUCGAACGGUAUAAACCUUUCGGGGUUUAGAGAGUGGCGAACGGGUGAGUAACACGUAGGUAAUCUACCCUCAAAACGGGGACAACCCAGGGAAACUUGGGCUAAUACCGGAUGCGUGCAAGCAAUGUUUUGGCUGUUAAUGCUAUUCACGGAAGUGAGUAGUGUUAAUGGUUGAGAGCAUUAUUUGCAUAAAAGGUGGCAUAUGCUGCCGUUUGAGGAUGAGCCUGCGUCCUAUUAGUUAGUUGGUGAGGUAAUGGCUUACCAAGGCGAUGAUAGGUAGGCGGCCUUAACGGGUGGUCGCCCACACUGGGAUUGAGAGACGGCCCAGACUCCUACGGGAGGCAGCAGUCGAGAAUAGUCUACAAUGGACGGAAGUCUGAUAGUGCGACGCCGCGUGAACGAAGAAUCCCUUCGGGGUGUAAAGUUCUUUUAUACGUGAGCAGUGCCCUUUAUAUGAAUAGUAUAGAGGGAGGGAUUUAAGCGUAUGAAUAAGCAACGGCUAACUCCGUGCCAGCAGCCGCGGUAACACGGGGGUUGCAAGCGUUGUCCGGGAAUUACUAGGCGUAAAGUGCAGGUAGGCGGAUAGAUAAGUUUAAGGUUAAAGGCUACGGGCUUACCCGUAGUAAGGCGUUAGAUACUGUUUAUCUGGAAUGCGGUUGAGGGAGACAGAAUUCCUGGUGUAGCGGUGGAUGCGCAGAGAUCAGGAGGAAUACCGAAGGCGAGGCAGUCUUCUAAGCCGAUAUUGACGCUAAACUGCGAAGGUGUGGGGAUCAAACAGGGAUUAAAUACCCUGGGUAGUCCACACAGUAACGAUAAUCAACUAGGUGUUGGGGUUCGUAUAGGACUCGGUGCCGGAGCUAACGCGAUAAUUGAUUCGCUGUGGAGUACGAUCGCAGGGUUGAAACUCAAAGGAUUGACGA
rnacentral:rRNA from 1 species